UCCCUAUCUGUCAGUGUUAUGGCACACUGCUAUGGGCCUCACUGAUCCUGACGCUAUCACAGCAGCUAUUUCUGCAUGUGGCAAAAUGAAGAAGUGAUUUUAAGUUCCUUAAAGAAAAUCCAUCUGGUAGCUGUGCCAGCUCUGUCUUCCUCAUGUUCGUGUGCAUUUGCUUUGUUCCUGGUCCCAGAUGGAUUUCUGAAAAUGGCAUGGGGAUGCCAAAAUGCAUCUGAAGACACAUAUCAUCAGUAUGCACAAAUUGUAAAGAAUGCACUCCCUGGAGCGAUGGGUGAUUUCAUCAAAAGUGACUUUCCAGCUAUGCUGAAACCUUUCAUGUCUCUUGUGCAAUCUGCAAUGCUAAAGCAAACAAUUCGAGUGCCAGAUUGUCUUAAGUAUCUGAAUACUUCAGCUUAUUAAAGGGCCGCAAUCUUAUCAAAUCAGAGAAAAUAUGAAGUCUCAAAAACAAAUUAAGCUGCUAUAAAUACACCCAAGUAGAUAUAAUCAAUUUCUCUCUCCCUCCACAAUAAACAAAUCAAUCAAUCAACAGACUUCUAACCUAUCAAAUACUUUUAAUUAAAGCACUGAGGCGCACCUGCCAAACUUCUGGGUUUCUGUAGCCCUUGGGCAACAUUCUCUCUCCUUGUGCAGUGUUGUGUUUCUUGUGGAGCUUUCUCCACAUCUCACCUGGGAAAGAGCAAAGAGAAUGGGGGUCUCUGUUGGGGCCACAUAGUAGUAUUACUUAACUCCUGUUUUGGAUAUGGCAGCCAGUAUAAUAAGCUAUGAAAAUAGUAAAAUGGGGCAAAUGCAGGUAAUGCAGUUAAGGGAAGUUCUCAAAAGGGCGGGGUGGCAGCAGGGAGAUGUGCUCAUUGAAACUGAAACGAACACCAGGAGUCUGUUGGAGUGGGUGUGAGUGGGGACAAAAAAACACAAGUGUACAUUCAUGGAAGUUUGAACAUUACAUUUCAUGGAAAAUUAGAAGAACUGAGGAAGUGAGAGAGCAAGUAACAGCCUUCAGCUGCAUGGAGCAUGUGUGCAAGGUGGAAGGGAAGAUGUUGCUCUGUGGGUCCAUUACUGUAGAAAGGGGUGCACAGCCUUUAAAGUAGAAAGGAAGAAGGGUCAUGCAAAAACCUGACAGAGAAGAAGAAAUCUUGCUCAGGUUUGGAGCAAACCAUACAUCAGGGGAAGUUUUCUCAAAAUAUGUAGAACAAAUCUCUGCCAGAAGUGCUCACUUUGACCAGCUCUAAGGCAGGAUGAUGGCCUGGACUCCCUCAUGAAGACUGCUGCAGCCUGAUUUUCCUCUCACUGGCAGCACUGCUGACUGCUAUAGCUGUGCCCUCUGUAGCAUGUAGAAGCAGACGACGUGUCAAUGCAGAGUUUUGGAUGUGGUGCCUGUAUUUUUCCCCUUCUCCUUUUCCAGCCUUCAGGAACAAUCUUACAUACUCAUCAAGUUUCAAAACAAGUUAAAGUAGGUCACAUCAUAACUUUACCAGCUGAUUUAUUUCAAGAGUAAACCAGUGAUGAAUU
rnacentral:lncRNA from 7 species